GGGCGGGAGUUUGCGGUGGGGGAACCAGACUGGCGGAGUCCUGGGUAGGAAAGGCCAUCACCUGUUGGGGCCUCCCAGCCAGAGAAGCACGAGGACACCAGGCGGGGACAGCCGCAGCCUCAGGAGCACGCCCCCAAUCCUAGGGGACCUGGCUGGCGGGGGACCGGCAGACCCGGGACAGAGCGAGGGAGGCCCCGGCGCUGGAAUGCAGUUUCCUCCGGCGAGGGAGACUUUGCACUGGACUGGAAAAUAGUUUGGGGUGGGGUUUCGCACGGUCCCCUCCUCCCCACCCCCGGCCCCCUUCCAGGCGCUUUCUGGGAGCCUUAAGAACUGCGCUCUGAAGUUUCAAGAGAGCCAGGAGCCUGAGCCGCAGGCAGGGACAAUGGAAGAAAACGAAAGCCAGAAAUGUGAGCCGUGCCUUCCUUACUCAGCAGACAGCAGACAGAUGCAGGGUG
rnacentral:lncRNA from 1 species